rnacentral:rRNA from 1 species
GACUGCGGAGGAUCAUUAAGAGACGUUGCCCUUCGGGGUAUACCUCCCACCCAUUGUUUAUUAUACCUUUGUUGCUUUGGCAGACCCGGCUUCGGCCCACCGGCUCCGGCUGGUCAGUGUCUGCCAGAGGACCUAAAACUCUGUUUGUUAAUAUUGUCUGAGUACUAUAUAAUAGUUAAAACUUUCAACAACGGAUCUCUUGGUUCUGGCAUCGAUGAAGAACGCAGCGAAAUGCGAUAAGUAAUGUGAAUUGCAGAAUUCAGUGAAUCAUCGAAUCUUUGAACGCACAUUGCGCCCUCUGGUAUUCCGGGGGGCAUGCCUGUUCGAGCGUCAUUACAACCCUCAAGCUUUGCUUGGUAUUGGACAUUGCCAGUUUCUGGCAGGUCUUAAAAUCAGUGGCGGUGCCAUUUGGCUUCAAGCGUAGUAAUUCUUCUCGCUUCGGAGAUCCAGGUGGUUACUUGCCAAUAACCCCCAAUUUUUUCAGGUUGACCUCGGAUCAGGUAGGGAUACCCGCUGAACUUAAGCAUAUCAAUAAGCGGAGGA